UACGAAGGGGGCUAGCGUUGCUCGGAAUCACUGGGCGUAAAGCGCACGUAGGCGGAUUGCUAAGUCAGGGGUGAAAUCCUGGAGCUCAACUCCAGAACUGCCUUUGAUACUGGCGAUCUCGAGUCCGGGAGAGGUGAGUGGAACUGCGAGUGUAGAGGUGAAAUUCGUAGAUAUUCGCAAGAACACCAGUGGCGAAGGCGGCUCACUGGCCCGGUACUGACGCUGAGACGCGAAAGCGUGGGGAGCGAACGAG
rnacentral:rRNA from 1 species